GACGUAGGGGGCGAGCGUUGUCCGGAUUCAUUGGGCGUAAAGCGCGCGCAGGCGGCCCGGUAAGUCGGAUGUGAAAUCCCACGGCUCAACCGUGGAACUGCAUUCGAUACUGUCGGGCUAGAGGCAGGUAGGGGAGAUCGGAAUUCCUGGUGUAGCGGUGAAAUGCGCAGAUAUCAGGAGGAACACCUGCGGUGUAGACGGCUUACUGGACCAUAACUGACGCUGAGGCACGAAAGCGUGGGUAGCAAACAGG
rnacentral:rRNA from 1 species